UUUGUGUUUGAUUAAAUGUUUCCCGUCAGUGGACAUCUGGUCAGUCGGAUGCAUCAUGGCAGAGAUGCUGCUAGGGAAACCACUGUUCAAAGGAAAUGACCACCUGGAUCAGCUGAUGGAGAUCAUGAAGAUUACAGGGACGCCCACAAAAGAGUUCACGGCCAAACUACAGUCUGAAGAUGCUAGACACUACAUAACAAAGUUACCAAAAUUUAGAAAGAAAGAUCUUCGGACAUUGUUACCAAAUGUUAACCCACAAGGU